ACUUAUCUCUGCCUGUGAAUCAGGAAGACCAGCUCCUCCUACUGUCUUCUGUGUUAGGGAUCACUUCCUUGUUGAGUGGGACCUGAGUUUUGAGAGGGUCUUCUGCUCCUCUUCGUCUGGUCCCUUACUUCCAAGACCCCAGAGAGGAAGGCAUGCUGUUGGCUCUAGCUCUGCUUCUAGCUUUCCUGCCUCCUGGUAAGAGUGCUGCCUACAGAGAGGCUCACAGGUUUUAUUUUGUUUCGUUUUGUUUAUUUUCUUCUUUUGCAAGGGAUACCAUACUAAGAAAUGCCUCAUUACAUUUUGUGUUGUUCCCAUUGCAGCCAGUCAGAAAUCUUCCAACUUGGAAGGGAGAACAAAGUCAGUCACCAGGCCAACUGGGUCAUCAGCUGUAAUCACUUGUGAUCUUCCUGUAGAAAAUGCCGUCUACACCCACUGGUACCUACACCAGGAGGGGAAGGCCCCACAGCGUCUUCUGUACUAUGACUCCUACAACUCCAGGGUUGUGUUGGAAUCAGGAAUCAGUCGAGAAAAGUAUCAUACUUAUGCAAGCACAGGGAAGAGCCUUAAAUUUAUACUGGAAAAUCUAAUUGAACGUGACUCUGGGGUCUAUUACUGUGCCACCUGGGAUAGGCACAGUGAUUCAGACCUGUGCUACACCACACUGAAAAUCUGCCUUGUGACUACUCCUGGUACACAAGAUAGACCAGCCUCAUCUCAUUUCCUGCCCAUGAAUUCACUGUAUUCUGUACAAAGAGAAACACAGCUUAACUCCUCAUCUCUCCCCUAAUAUCACACUCCCCUGGCGGCAGCUGCACCCUGUUCUCCACCCCACCCUCAUGAGUUACCUAAAGACCAAACUACAAUCUCCCAGCUGUGUCAGCCAAGCAGCCUUGCUGACAGCAAAGUUCUUUCAGCUCUUCUAUGGGCUGGUGGAGACCCAUUCCACCUGCUUCCUAAGACAGACAAAUUCCUCAAGGACUGGUCUGUAAAGGGAUUCAUUUAGGAGACUAUAUGGGAAGACUAGCUUCACUCAAGCAUUUAUCCAAUUAUUGUCUAUAGGCUAAAAUAGUGCUUAUUCAUUGCUCAGGAUAAAUGUUGGAAUAACAACUUUGCACUUCAGUAAGACAUCUAACGUGUAUCAGAUCUGCUAUCUUUUGGACACACUGACAUUUUUUUCUACAUAACAAAUCAUGGUACUAUUGGUCUGCAGGAGAAUGGGUAAAAAAGUGAUAGUCAUAGGUACGCCAACUUGUGGGUCAUAUCAUAGGUUUUCAACCAUUUCAAGCAUCCCUGCCCUAAUGCAAGUAUCUGAAGGAUCUGACCCUUGCCCUGCAGCAGAAUUCAUUCCAUGUCCCCUCUGGAUAUUAGACUGAUAAUUUGGAUCAGGUCUCAGCAUGGGCCAUUGAGGAACACUACAGCCCUGCUGAGAGAUAAAAAGGAUUAUCCACUCAAGGAGUUCACACCUCCGGGCCGACAUGGAGAACGUGCCUAGAAGCAGACUUGGAGGGUGCUCAGUGGUGGGUUGUGGAAUGUAAGCCUGAAGAAGCAGAGUUUAAUUCUACGGGGGUGCUUUCAUAAUUUAGUACCCUGACAGGGCUCCUGGUGUUGGUCCUUAGACACUCCUGGGAUGGCUCCCUGGAAACAUGGAGGAAACCUUGGUCGCAUGACAUGAUACGGAGAUGUUGGAGCUGCCUGGACACAGUUACAGAGGGAGGCAUUAAAAGGCUUCGAGAGGCAGGUCUUAGAAAAUGACUCUUCCUGUCUCAAAAUGCAGUCCUUCAUUCUGAUUGAUGAAUUGGAAGCACAUGGCUGGUGUAAAGAAUAAGAAACUAAUUAUAAGCCAGGAAACAGCAGGAGAAGAAAGCAGAGAAGCAACGCUUACCCUGAAGAAUUAAUUUCCGUUUAGAAAAUAUCACAGCUGAUGUGUCAAAGGCCCCGGUAUGCAGGAAUGAGAUUAAACAAAUGUGGUCAUGAGGAAGAGGUUUCUGAAUAAUGAUAGAGAAGCUUGAGUCUACAAGAAAUCCAGAGUCCAGAAUACUGCAGGGGAGCAGUGCUGGGUUC
rnacentral:lncRNA from 1 species